UACGUAGGGUGCGAGCGUUAAUCGGAAUUACUGGGCGUAAAGCGUGCGCAGGCGGUUUUGUAAGCCAGAUGUGAAAUCCCCGGGCUCAACCUGGGAAUGGCAUUUGGGACUGCAAGGCUUGAGUGCGGCAGAGGAGACUGGAAUUCCUGGUGUAGCAGUGAAAUGCGUAGAUAUCAGGAGGAACACCGAUGGCGAAGGCAGGUCUCUGGGCUGACACUGACGCUGAGACGCGAAAGCGUGGGGAGCAAACAGG
rnacentral:rRNA from 1 species